CCGGGCCGCCGCAUAAAGCGCCGCGGUCCCGAGCGCCGCCGCCCCGUGCCUGAGCCACGGGCUCUCCAGCCCCUGAGAAGCCCUGCAUGGACCCUCCUGCUCUGCUGGGGCCUGGCUGCUUGCUGCACAGGUGCCAUGGCCUUGCAGCCGCCCAGCAUCACCAUCCUGCGGAUGCCAGCAGAGCUUCCUCGCCCAGGGACUUCGUGGGGUGAUCUCUGAAGAGCUGAAGAACUGGAUUUUCCUCACACUGGGGCAUCAGCUGUGAGUUUGUGGGCCCCACAUCAGCCAAUUCCCUGGGGGCUCCCCUGGCAGGGGGAAACUCUCCUGAAGCAGGAAAAGCAGACCCACAGGACUUUUUCGGUCUUCAAGUUCUUGUUUUACUGUUAUCUUAUCAUGACUUCAGCACAUUGUCUACACCCAGACCUUGUAUGCCUGAAAAUAGCACAAAAGUGGCUAACAAACUCCUUCUGUAAGGUCUUUUAAAGUCUAAUCAAAAACUAAACUACCCAAUUAAGAAGUGACACCUAGAUUAUUACCUUUUCUAACCCAAUAACUGACCCCUAAAGACCCGCAAUGAGGAUUUUUCUGCCCAAACAAGAUGUCACCCAAACCCAAGAAGAAGGAAGAAGAAGGAAGAAGAAAGGAACUUAAGACAACACCCUGUACCCUCCAUCUUGUGCCUAUCUACAAUAUGUUAAAAAUCCUAAAAUCUAAUUUCUCACCCAUGUGACAUACUAAACUACUCUCUACAAUUUCUACAAUCUAUUUCACACUUUUGUGGUCUCUAGUUUACUUUGAGGCUUAGGAGGCCUUCUCCACAAAUGAGGGUUAAAGUCAGUGUUUUCCUGGGAGUCAGAGCACCCCAGGGCAGACAAGGGGAUAUUCCCCCUGCCCUGGGUUCCCACGGUAACAUUUGGAAGAAGGGGCAGCAAGUCAGGAAACCAACAAGGAUCUAAUGAGGCAGAGAGAAAAUGAGAAGAAUGGAAGCCCAUCUGGCCACUGCUGUAAAAUACAAUAAAACAAAUGUUUCUAUAAAUACAUUAACCACAAAACAAGGGCUAAAGAGAAUCUCCUUUAUUGUAUAUCUGGGCAAAUCUAGAGACAAAGAAUGAGGAAAAGUCUCAGGUACCUCGAAAGGUGAUGGAGCAAAUAGAGCAAACCAUCCUGAGUGCCAUAAUGUGGCAUGUGCAGAUCAACCAGGGAUCAGGCCCAGCCAACAUGGGUGUGUGAAAGACAAGUCCUGCUUGAGCAACCUGGCUUCUGUGACAACAUGACCUGCUUGGUGGGGAAAGGCUGCCACCUGCAUGAUGGAUGUACUGUCAUCUGCAAUUUCCCCAAAUGGACGGAGCUUCAACAUCUGUGACAAUGGCAAAUUGCUCAUGUUCUCCCAUAUGAGAGAGAAGAAAUACUCCAUGAAAUGACUCUCAUCUGACAAGGGAGGUGAGGCUUUGGGCAGAUAAUUUUCAGAUGUGUUGCAUGAGAAAGGUUGUCAUCCCCUAAAAAACCUACACCAAGACUAUUAAAAUAGCCCAAAGUCUGCUCCUUGCCCAUGUCUGCAGGUUUGAAUUCUGUGAGAUAUGACUAAGGCUGGAUCCAUUCACACAGUACAAUAAAGGCUUUGAAAUAAGAGCCUUGCACUGGCAGCAGUGAAUUACAUGAAACUGAGAUAAAAUAUAAGAAAACUUCUGUCCAGA